GGGGGAUUAGCUCAGGUGGUAGAGCGCUUGCUUAGCAUGUGAGAGGUCGUGGGAUCGAUGCCCACGUUCUCCA
rnacentral:tRNA from 1 species